AUGCGUAUUUCCCGGGAUGUCACGUUUGAUGAGUCUCAUCCCUUCUACCCACGUCCAUCGUCCUCGGCCUUUUCCAUGGAGGACAUCUCUUUUCUUACGUUUCCGGAUACACCUCCCUUCGUGCCUAGUAUUCCUACUCCUCGUCCCGCUGUUGCGGAUCCGACGUCGUCCUCUCCUAUGGUUUCUUCUCCUUCCUCAUCACAUGACUCUCCACCUUCGACACCGAUACCUUCCUCUUCUCCACCUUCAUCACCGAUACCUUCCGCUUCUCCACCUGCAUCACCGCUACAUUCCCCGUCUCCACCUCCAGUGAUUCCACCUCUCCCCUCCUUUCCUUUCCAUUAUACUCGUCAUCGACGUGUUGUGAACGAGUCUACUGUUGUGCCCUCUACUUCUGAUGUGUCAUCUUCCUCCUCACGGUCGACUUAUGGUCUUCGUUCUCGGCCUUGUCCGCCCCCUGAUUGA
rnacentral:rRNA from 1 species